rnacentral:rRNA from 1 species
AUUGAACGCUGGCGGCAUGCUUUACACAUGCAAGUCGAACGGCAGCGCGGGGCAACCUGGCGGCGAGUGGCGAACGGGUGGGUAAUAUAUCGGAACGUACCCAGAAGUGGGGGAUAACGUAGCGAAAGUUACGCUAAUACCGCAUACGAUCUACGGAUGAAAGUGGGGGACCUUCGGGCCUCAUGCUUGUGGAGCGGCCGAUAUCUGAUUAGCUAGUUGGUAGGGUAAAGGCUUACCAAGGCGACGAUCAGUAGCUGGUCUGAGAGGACGACCAGCCACACUGGGACUGAGACACGGCCCAGACUCCUACGGGAGGCAGCAGUGGGGAAUUUUGGACAAUGGGCGCAAGCCUGAUCCAGCAAUGCCGCGUGAGUGAAGAAGGCCUUCGGGUUGUAAAGCUCUUUUGUCAGGGAAGAAACGGUGCGGACUAAUAUUCUGCGCUAAUGACGGUACCUGAAGAAUAAGCACCGGCUAACUACGUGCCAGCAGCCGCCGUAA